GGGCCGUUAGCUCAACCGGCAGAGCAGUGGACUUUUAAUCCACGGGUUCGGGGUUCGAUCCCCCGGCGGCCCACCA
rnacentral:tRNA from 1 species